AAUAAAAAUAAUAGUAAUAAUAAUAUUAUUAUUUUUAUUUAAUAGCCCAUGGAAAGUUGUGCGAUCCAUCCCUUCCAAUUGAAACCUUAAUCUCUCAAAGGAAAAAAAACCCUCAUCAUCCCUCGCCGUCGCCACAUUCUCUUUUGCAGCUGUCUCUAUUUCGGUCAGCCGCCUCCAUCCGUCAAUCGUCUCGGUUGUCGUCUGUUCGUCGAUCAUCGCAAACGUCGAAGCUCCCCUUCACAUUAACACCCCAACCCGAGUCGUCUUCGUUCGCAUGAACCGAGUCAACAACAUCUUUCAGUCGCACUCUCCUCCACGUCUCCUUCGCCUUCCGCCGCAUCGCUCCACUCAGCAGUCGUCAACGAGCCUCACCGGUCCGGGUCGACGGAUUCAAAAUCGCCCGAGCCGUCUCACGAUCGAGCCGACCAGCUGCGUCAAGCGCAUCGUCGAGCUUCACCUUUCGUCUGCCAUUGCCGCCAACCCGAGCCGCCCUGCGCGUGUGAGCCACCUACCCGAGUCGUUUUCCCUGCCUUAGCCGAGCCGAUCCUUCUCUUCCAAGCCAUUUGAGCCGCCAAGCUUAAUUUUUCCCUUUUCACCUAUAUUUUUUGUAAGUUUGAUUUGAGUUUGGUUUAAUGCCCAACAAAGACUAAUUUUUGGACCCUAAAUAAUUUAAUUUUAGAUUAAAUUAAAUUAUUUUUCUUAAAGUACUGGUUAGAUAAUUGGAAGUAAGUUGUGGAACGUUGUCCUAAGUUAAGGUUGAGUUGGAUCCGAUAUCAACUUUGGGUAGGUUGAAUUAUCUAGAUUUUUGGAUCCUAAUUUAACUGCAAAUUUAGUUAUCUUAGUAUUUUAUCCUUACUGUUUAGGAUUUUUUGGAAUUUUUUGGAGAAGCUUGACUUUGCUGUCAGGAGUGUUUUCUGUGAAUUAAGCUAAUCUCCAAGUAAGAGAUUCUCCUACUAGAGCUUCAAAUUGAAGUAAGAGCUUGCAUGUAACUUUUCCAUUAUGCAUUGAUGUAGCUAAUAUGCAUAAUAUGUUUAUGUUUAUGAUGAUUGCUAGUCAUGACUAGUCUAGGUUAUGAUGACUGAUAGAUCCGACUGAGUUAUGUUUAUGAUGAUGAUAUUUGACAUUGUUGAUGCUUAUGCAUGAAGUAUUAAUCUCAUGAUUAAGAAUGUUUCGAUUAAUACUCAGGUCAUGUUUAUGAUGAUGCUAUAUGAUGAUGCUAUGUUAUGUUGCAUGCUAUGGAUAGGGUGUACUGUUAGCUUUUUUUAUUAGAGUCGUAUCCACAUAAGUGUUCCUCGAGAUCACCACCUUUUUAUGAUUGUGUAGUCCGACGGGAUCACUAGUCCAGUAUGAGAUGAUAUGUUUAUGAGUGGCUCGAUCGGUUCACUUACAACCCGAUUGUCUUAGUGUUUCUUUCGAGAUUCACUAAAGACCAGUUUGUCCUAGGUGUUCCUUGUGUUCAUCGAAGACCAAUUUUGUCCUAGGUGUUCCUUUGAGUUCACCGAAGACCAGAGAUGUUCCUACGGGAUCUCAGAUUGCACGUGUUCGGGAACAUGCCAGUUAGAGGUACAUGUAGAUGAAAGAGCAGAGGAAAGCUGGCGAAUGACAAGAAGUGACCGUGACAUGCCAUAGGGAACGUUUUGCUUCCACCUUAUGUUAUUAGAUUUCGAUUUCAGUAUUUAUGCACUUUUAUUUAUGUUACUCUUUAAAACUAGAUAGGGCCCGGACUAGGAAUUAGUUAUUUGAGAUCUAUUUCUAUCGAUUCAUUUAUUUAUCAUAUUAAAUGAGUAUUUGAAGUUUUGACCA